AUUUUAUAAUUAAUCAAAAUGUAGCAUAUCCAGGAGCUUAUUCGUUAUCUGCAAUUUGGACUCUGAUGGCUGGCUCUUGGUGUAGCAUCAUCUAUUGGUCUUGGUAAGUGCGAGUUAUAUUCAAAAUAGCAUGAAAACUCACAACCUGGAUACUGGAAAUCAUUAUACAAUCCAUACUUGAGGGCAAGUUCUCUUUUCUUUUUUGUUUAGUGUGGAUUCUCUCUCUUUUGGAGUUUUCCUUUAUUGAUUUUAUAAUUAAUCAAAAUGUAGCAUAUCCAGGAGCUUAUUCGUUAUCUGCAAUUUGGACUCUGAUGGCUGGCUCUUGGUGUAGCAUCAUCUAUUGGUCUUGGUAAGUGCGAGUUAUAUUCAAAAUAGCAUGAAAACUCACAACCUGGACACUGGAAAUCAUUAUACAAUCCAUACUUGAGGGCAAGUUCUCUUUUCUUUUUUGUUUAGUGUGGAUUCUCUCUCUUUUUUUUUUGUAAUUUCUGGUGCUUUCAGUAACUUAAAUGAUAAUUAGUUUUUUUUUUUCCUUUUUGAGGUUUUCUUUUUUGUUUUAAUUUACAAUUUUACUGAUUUUUAUGUAUUUUUUGAAGGUUG
rnacentral:lncRNA from 1 species